CGCGGGAAUUCGAUUAGAGUUUGAUCAUGGCUCAGAUUGAACGCUGGCGGCAGGCCUAACACAUGCAAGUAGAGCGGCAGCACGGGUACUUGUACCUGGUGGCGAGCGGCGGACGGGUGAGUAAUGCCUAGGAAUCUGCCUGAUAGUGGGGGAUAACGCUCGGAAACGGACGCUAAUACCGCAUACGUCCUACGGGAGAAAGCAGGGGACCUUCGGGCCUUGCGCUAUCAGAUGAGCCUAGGUCGGAUUAGCUAGUUGGUGAGGUAAUGGCUCACCAAGGCGACGAUCCGUAACUGGUCUGAGAGGAUGAUCAGUCACACUGGAACUGAGACACGGUCCAGACUCCUACGGGAGGCAGCAGUGGGGAAUAUUGGACAAUGGGCGAAAGCCUGAUCCAGCCAUGCCGCGUGUGUGAAGAAGGUCUUCGGAUUGUAAAGCACUUUAAGUUGGGAGGAAGGGCAUUAACCUAAUACGUUGGUGUCUUGACGUUACCGACAGAAUAAGCACCGGCUAACUCUGUGCCAGCAGCCGCGGUAAUACGAAUCACUAGUGAAUUCGCGGCCGCCUGCAGGUCGACCAUAUGGGAGAGCUCCCAACGCGUG
rnacentral:rRNA from 1 species